GCGUUUGUGGUGUAAUGGUCAGCACACUCGUCGCAUAUUCGAGAGGUCCGAGGUUCGAGUCCCGGCGACGGCG
rnacentral:tRNA from 1 species